ensembl:snRNA U4 U4 spliceosomal RNA
AGCUUUGUGUAGUGGCAGUAUCGUAGGCAAUGAGGUUUAUCCAAGGCGCGAUUAUUGCUAAUUGAAAACUUUUCCCAAUAUCCGCAGUAACAAUGUGAAAUAUAGUCAGCAUUGGCAAAAG